UACGGAAGGCAGCAGUGGGGAAUAUUGCACAAUGGGCGCAAGCCUGAUGCAGCCAUGCCGCGUGUAUGAAGAAGGCCUUCGGGUUGUAAAGUACUUUCAGUCGUGAGGAAGGUGUUAAGGUUAAUAACCUUAGCAAUUGACGUUAGCGACAGAAGAAGCACCGGCUAACUCCGUGCCAGCAGCCGCGGUAAUACGGAGGGUGCGAGCGUUAAUCGGAAUUACUGGGCGUAAAGGGCACGCAGGCGGUUAAUUAAGUUGGAUGUGAAAUCCCCGGGCUUAACCUGGGAAUGGCAUUCAAGACUGGUUAGCUAGAGUCUUGUAGAGGGGGUAGAAUUCCAUGUGUAGCGGUGAAAUGCGUAGAGAUGUGGAGGAAUACCGGUGGCGAAGGCGGCCCCUGGACAAGGACUGACGCUCAUGUGCGAAAGCGUGGGGAGCGAACAGGGAUUAGAUACC
rnacentral:rRNA from 1 species